rnacentral:tRNA from 1 species
GGGCAUAUGGUGUAGCUGGUUAUCACGCCCGCUUAGCAUUACGUAAGCUGAGUGCGGGCGGUCUCCGGUUCGAGUCCGGAUUUGUCCA